UAUCCGGAAUACUGGGUGUAAAGGGUGCGUAGGUGGUAUGGCAAGUCAGAAGUGAAAACCCAGGGCUUAACUCUGGGACUGCUUUUGAAACUGUCAGACUGGAGUGCAGGAGAGGUAAGCGGAAUUCCUAGUGUAGCGGUGAAAUGCGUAGAUAUUAGGAGGAACAUCAGUGGCGAAGGCGGCUUACUGGACUGAAACUGACACUGAGGCACGAAAGCGUGGGGAGCAAACAGGAUUAGAUACCCUGGUAGUCCACGCCGU
rnacentral:rRNA from 1 species